AGCAGCCACGUCAAAUUCAGUACUGCCCACUCACUGGCUACUACUGGCCAAAAUGGCUGCAACAUUAACUGUGGCUCAUGGGCCUCAAAUUCCUUUUAAUGUGGAAGUUGAGGAUAAUAUGUGCCACAGACAUGU